GAGGUGGGUCCUAAUUAUGCUGAGGUGACCAUGCCCAGUGGCCCAGGUGAAUGGCUAAAUUAUGAAAUUGAAGGCCCUCUUGGAUCCAAAAGAAUAUUUACUUCACUGGAGCCUGUUAGGCAAGACAUUCAGUGAUGCCGGGGUGGUCCCUAAAUCCUCCAACACCAGAGCUGAGGAGGAGAUGAAAAAGUAUCUGGAAAAAACCUCUCCAUUAUCACUCUCAGAAGACCCCCUCAUCUGGUGGAGGAGCCAUGAGACUGUCUUUCCCCUCCUGGCUAAAUGUUUACAAAGACUUAAUUGUGAAGAGAGAUGCUUUUAAGAAAGGAGAAUAUAUCUGGGAGACCACCACACAGCAAACAUCCGUAAAGAUUGUACGUACAUCACAAAGUGCAGCUGAUGUUGCAAUGGGAGACAAACUCAAAAGAGACAUCCAGAACUUACAAAAGAAAAAAGUACCAGCGAUAACCUCUACUCCAGUGUCAGAGGAUUCAGAUAACACUGACAUUGACAUGUUCGGAAAAAACACAGAGAAGAUCAAGGAAAAGAGUAAGCAAUGUUUUAAUUUUAUUUUAAUUACUUUUUGUACUCCUGUCUAUCUCCCAAUAAAUUGGAAACGCUCUAACAAUCAAGGCAACUUUGGAUUUUUCCAGCUCAGUUUGAGAAAUUUUAAAUUCUGACUUAAUGGAGCAAGGUUAGCCACCAUUUUAUUAUAGAAGGAGAUAAUGCAUGUUCUAUGUUCUGUUCCUUCAAUAAGACUGAAAACUAAUUAAAAAAAAAAAUUUCAAAAUCAUUAUUUUUUAAUCAAUCAUUUUUUAUUAUCCUUCUAUUUGCUCUUACAUGCUUUUUUGUGUGUUUUCCCUAAAUCUUGGCAACAGAGGUGAAUACUGAAGAUUUUGCAUGACCCAUAGCGUCACAAUAGACACAACAAUUUGAAAUCUUAUAGUUGUAAUUAGAGAUGCCAACUUUCUCACUCUGAUACCGGACAAAGGAUGGCAUGCCGCAGCAGUGAGGAUAUGAUUUUGUGUAUACAGUGUAUUUAACCUGAUAGCUUAUCUCCUUAUUAAAUAAUCAUUUAAUUCAAUUCAAUUUUAUUUAUAUAGUGCUUUUCACAAUUGUUAAUUGUUUCAAAGCAGCUUUACAUUAAUAGAUGUAGGAAAAGCAUAGACAAGCGAGCGUAGUAGUAAUAUACAUAUACAGUAAAGUAGUAAGUUAAGCCAAAGAUUGCGGACUCGCCAGGGGAUGAAAAAAACCCCUAGGAGAAAAACCCUCCUGGCUAGUCCAGGGUGAAAACUCCUAGGAGGAGGAAAAACCCCUGAGAGAGAUACAUAUAUAUUUAUAUAUAUAAAUACUAUCAAGGUAUGUGAACGGGUAAAUGAAUUAAACUGGUUCCGCUGGUGGUCAUUGGUCAGGCUGGGCAUCACGUUGAAGGAUGAUCAGUACACUCAAAAAAAUAGACCUUUGGUUAAACAUGAUUCAGUCAUGGACAGUGGUGCCACAUGAUUACACCACAUUAUCUUAACAACACUGGAUGAUGUUAAAUCUAUUCUAAAUACGUGUGUUUGUUUAACAUGAACAAAUGACUUUCAUUAAACAUGAUUGAAAUGUAUUUAUUUAACUUGAAUGAAUGUUUUUUUAUAUGUUCGUUUAACAUGAACAAAUGACUUUCAUUUAACAUGAUUGAAAUAUAUUAAUUUAAUUUGAAUGAACGUUUUUUGAUAUGUUCGUUUAACAUGAACAAAUGACUUUCAUUAAACACGAUUGAAAUGGAUUUUUUUAAUUUGAAUGAACGUUUUUUUGACAUGUUCGUUUAACAUGAACAAAUGACUUUCAUUAAACAUGAUUGAAAUGUA